rnacentral:rRNA from 1 species
AUACGUAGGGGGCAAGCGUUGUCCGGAAUGAUUGGGCGUAAAGGGCGCGUAGGCGGCCCGGUAAGUCUGGAGUGAAAGUCCUGCUUUUAAGGUGGGAAUUGCUUUGGAUACUGUCGGGCUUGAGUGCAGGAGAGGUAAGUGGAAUUCCCAGUGUAGCGGUGAAAUGCGUAGAGAUUGGGAGGAACACCAGUGGCGAAGGCGACUUACUGGACUGUAACUGACGCUGAGGCGCGAAAGUGUGGGGAGCAAACAGGAUUAGAUACCCUGGUAGUCCACACUGUAAACGAUGAAUGCUAGGUGUAGGGGGUAUCGACCCCUUCUGUGCCGCAGUCAACACAAUAAGCAUUCCGCCUGGGGAGUACGGCCGCAAGGUUGAAACUCUCGA